AACCCCUCUCCUCAAAUUACCCCUAAAAUUUCUCUCGGUUUCUCGUUCCAGAUUUUUCUUUUCUUCUCUCGCUUCCCAAAACCCCUCUCUUCAAAGGUACUUCCUCUCUUUGUUCCAAGGUCCGUUGUUGUUUUCUUAUUUUUGUUUUAAUUAAUCGAAUCAUCAUCUUCGUUUUCUUUUUUCUUCUUUUUAUGUAUAUAUUCGGACAAAAUCAAUACACACUUGAUACAAGCAUGUGUUUUGCUUGCAGGGUAUACAGCGAGACGAAGAAAUUCGAAGGAUUCAAAAAGAAAAUAAGGCCAAGUAUUGCGCAGUUAUCUUCGAAAGCAUUAUUUUUAUUUUAUUUUAAUAUAUCUUAU
rnacentral:lncRNA from 1 species